CCCCCCCCCAUCUUGUCAUUUGAAUGUAUAGAAAGUUAUUGAGUGUAAUUAGAAAGAGUCCGGUGUUACUACCUUAUUGCAUGAAGAGGUUUUAUAUUUACCAUAGUAAUAACUUUAAUACUGACAUAUACAAAUAUACUCAUUCGAUUUUGUCCAUAUGAUAUUCACUAAUUUUAUCCUGUUCUUUAUCCAUUAUAUAUAUUGGAACACUAUUCUUUAUGUUGUUCAUUUCAUAGAUAUCUGAAUUUUUUUUUAAAAACCUCAGUUUUGUAUUUUGUUGAUUUUUAUUUUUUUUUCUGCCAGAAAUCAGUUGUCAUCUUAAAGUGAUUGUGGUUUUACAUUAUUUUUAGUCAAUCAGAAAAUUAAAAAGUAUUAAAACUGU
rnacentral:sRNA from 1 species